GCGGGGGUGGCAGAGCCUGGUCAAAUGCGCUGGCUUGAGGUGCCAGUUCCUUAGUGGAUGCGAGGGUUCAAAUCCCUUCCCCCGCA
rnacentral:tRNA from 1 species